rnacentral:lncRNA from 1 species
CUGAGGAUCGUUACCACAUCACCAGCCAUAUAAACCGCAUCUGGGAGCCAUGAAGAGUGUACGCUGUAACAUAUCCAACAACCCCCUAGCGACACUCGGGGGGCCUAGCAAGUCUCAAACCUAUGACCUCGCUUUGGUACUACAUGUUAGGACUGUAGCUCCUAACCACUCUUCUAAAAAGCAAUUGCCCCAUAGAAGGAGGUGUUCAUUAGCCUUGAUCCAC